UAAAGACAAACUUCACUAAACAUAAUUGCUUCAGCAGAUGCCUUCAAAAUAAGAUACUAUACCAUUAUUUAUGGAAAGAGAAGUUUUAUUUAAGCCAAAUCUUGAUCACAAUGCAAUGGAGGAAAAAAAUUACAAAACCGUUUAGAAAGUUCUUCUGCUCAAUUAAAAAAUUUAAUACUUCUCACGUAUGUCUCCUAUAAGCACACUAAUUCUAAAGGUAGCAGAAAUUGUAUGCAUUUAUUAGAGAACAGAGACUCUCAGGAAAAUUAUGCAAUCAAUUGCAAUAGCAAAUGUAUAAAACAAAUUAAUAAUACAUUUUAAAAAAGAAAUUCUGUUAAAUUUCAUUUAAGAUUAGUUCUUGGACAGCUACACCUAAUGGAGGACAAGAAAAUUUCCAAAUUUUAAGUGUAUGUUUGUAGGUCAACCUUUAACAAGUCUUAACCCAUUAUAGUUUCAUUUAGUCUGUACUCAAGUUGCUUUCCCAGGCAUGCCAGGUAAACAUAAUUCUUAAAAAUUAAAGCUUUAAUCAGUAAGUGUAACCGAUUUGUUGCUACUGUCACUCUUUUGAUGAUACUUCCACCAACCGGUAAAGAAAGAAGAAAUGUUAUUAAACUGGAAGAUGAACUAGAAACAUUGAGUGGAUACCUAGCUUAGGCAGAAAGCAGCAAGGACUAGAAGGGUAUGUCACAAAGAAGUCUUCAGAGAUUUAAUAAAAAGUAAAACAAAUGGAAUGAAGUUAAGAGGCUUGACUUAUACAAAUGGGGGGGGGAGGGUGGAAGAGUUUUGGAGGGGAAAAAAUUAAGAUUAGAGACUCACUGGGUGCAGAAUGGAAAAGGACGUGAGGAUAGGGGCCAUUAGACAGAAAGCGAUGAAGCAGGGUACCAGAGGAAAGAGAAGGCAGUGAGGGUUUCCGAAGCUAAGAUGGGGCAUGGAAUGAACUCCAAUGCAAAGCGAUGCUAAAGCAAAACACAAUCGGCAACUAACAAAAAGGGAACCAGGAGGAAGUACCGAAAGGAGGUGGAUGAGAGGAAAAUAAAACCAAGGAAGAAAUUAUGGAGGUAACAAGAGUGAGAAACCUGGUCGGCCAGGGUAAGGAGCUCCGGACAGGGAAGAGCCAGGCAAGGGAUGGAAGCACAGAGAUACGCUGCUUCCCAAGGAGGGACCACCCGGGCAAAAAGACACGUGGGAGGCGCGGGAUGAAAAAGCAGAACCACGAAAGCGGGUAAAGGAGGGACAGAGCGACGAAGAUGGAGCAGGGGUGAAGGGCAAACACGCUAGGCGCGAGGUUCAGGAAGAACGGGUCGAGGGACGCGCGCAGGGGCAGGGGCGGCCGCGGGCACCGGGAGAGCAGCGCGCCGCGGCCCCUCGCCUCCCUCAGAGCGCUCCGCACCGCCGUCCCCACCGACCUUCAACGGGGCCGGGGCCAGGCUCCGACCGCCAGCAGUCGGCUCCUCCGUGCAGUCCCGGGUAGAGAGCCCGGUCCCUGCGCUAGUCGAUUUGUGCAGUAGGAAAGGAGGCUGCAGGGGAUCUGCGCCGGGGCAGGACAGAUGCCUUUCGGGACCCAGUGUUUGCAUCUUGGGAGAUGUGGGUGCUGAUCUGGUUGUUUCUUGGUUUAUGACGCCAAAAAGGGCGGGAGGGGGCUGAUGAAGUGAAGCCUUUCGCUAAUACAUUCCGUUAACAGAA
rnacentral:lncRNA from 1 species